rnacentral:rRNA from 1 species
AGAGUUUGAUCCUGGCUCAGGACGAACGCUGGCGGCGCGCCUAACACAUGCAAGUCGAACGAGCGAGAGAGAGCUUGCUUUCUCGAGCGAGUGGCGAACGGGUGAGUAACGCGUGAGGAACCUGCCUCAAAGAGGGGGACAACAGUUGGAAACGACUGCUAAUACCGCAUAAGCCCACGGCUCGGCAUCGACCAGAGGGAAAAGGAGCAAUCCGCUUUGAGAUGGCCUCGCGUCCGAUUAGCUAGUUGGUGAGGUAACGGCCCACCAAGGCGACGAUCGGUAGCCGGACUGAGAGGUUGAACGGCCACAUUGGGACUGAGACACGGCCCAGACUCCUACGGGAGGCAGCAGUGGGGAAUAUUGCACAAUGGGGGAAACCCUGAUGCAGCGACGCCGCGUGGAGGAAGAAGGUCUUCGGAUUGUAAACUCCUGUUGUUGAGGAAGAUAAUGACGGUACUCAACAAGGAAGUGACGGCUAACUACGUGCCAGCAGCCGCGGUAAAACGUAGGUCACAAGCGUUGUCCGGAAUUACUGGGUGUAAAGGGAGCGCAGGCGGGAAGACAAGUUGGAAGUGAAAUCCAUGGGCUCAACCCAUGAACUGCUUUCAAAACUGUUUUUCUUGAGUAGUGCAGAGGUAGGCGGAAUUCCCGGUGUAGCGGUGGAAUGCGUAGAUAUCGGGAGGAACACCAGUGGCGAAGGCGGCCUACUGGGCACCAACUGACGCUGAGGCUCGAAAGUGUGGGUAGCAAACAGGAUUAGAUACCCUGGUAGUCCACACCGUAAACGAUGAUUACUAGGUGUUGGAGGAUUGACCCCUUCAGUGCCGCAGUU